CGCCUGUUUAUCAAAGACAUGUCUGUUUGGAGUUAUAAAAAGUUUAACCUGCCCACUGAUUGAUAAUAUUAAAUGGCCGCGGUAUUUUGACCGUGCAAAGGUAGCAUAAUCGUUAGUUUCUUAAUUGGAAUCUUGUAUGAAUGGUUGGACAAAAGAAAAUCUGUCUUUAUACUGUUUAUUGAAUUUUACUUUUAAGUGAAAAGGCUUAAAUGAAUUAAAGGGACGAUAAGACCCUAUAAAGCUUAAUAUAAAAUUUUAUUUAGUCAAAUUUUACGUUAUAAAGACUUUGUAAGUAUGAGUUUAUUUUAUUGGGGCGAUAAGAGUAAAAUGAUUGUUAACUGCUUAAUAUUAAAUACACUUAUGAGUGAUUAAAUUUUUAGAUGAUCCUAAUUAAAGAUUAGAAGUUUAAGUUACUUUAGGGAUAACAGCGUUAUUUUUCUUAAGAGUACUUAUCGAAAGAAAAGUUUGCGACCUCGAUGUUGAAUUAAAAUACCUUUAUAAUUGCAGCAGUUAUAAAAGUAGGUCUGUUCGACCUUUAAAAUUUUACAUGAUCUCAGUUCAGACCGG
rnacentral:rRNA from 1 species